rnacentral:rRNA from 1 species
GAUGAACGCUGGCGGCGUGCCUAAUACAUGCAAGUCGAGCGAACAGACGAGGAGCUUGCUCCUCUGACGUUAGCGGCGGACGGGUGAGUAACACGUGGAUAACCUACCUAUAAGACUGGGAUAACGUCGGGAAACCGGAGCUAAUACCGGAUAAUAUAUUGAACCGCAUGGUUCAAUAGUGAAAGACGGGUUUGCUGUCACUUAUAGAUGGAUCCGCGCCGCAUUAGCUAGUUGGUAAGGUAACGGCUUACCAAGGCAACGAUGCGUAGCCGACCUGAGAGGGUGAUCGGCCACCCUGGAAUUGAGACACGGUCCAGACUCCUACGGGAGGCAGCAGUAGGGAAUCUUCCGCAAUGGGCGAAAGCCUGACGGAGCACCGCCGCGUGAGUGCUGAAGGUCUUCGGAUCGUAAAACUCUGUUAUUAGGGAAGAACAAAUGUGUAAGUAACUAUGCACGUCUUGACGGUACCUAAUCAGAAAGCCACGGCUAACUACGUG